rnacentral:rRNA from 1 species
CCUACGGGAGGCAGCAGUAGGGAAUUUUCGUCAAUGGGCGCAAGCCUGAACGAGCGAUGCCGCGUGAGUGAAGAAGGCCUUCGGGUCGUAAAGCUCUGUUGCGGGGGAAAAAAGGCAGCAUUAGGAAAUGGGUGCUGACUGAUGGUGCCCCGCCAGAAAGUCCCGGCUAACUACGUGCCAGCAGCCGCGGUAAUACGUAGGGGGCGAGCGUUAUCCGGAAGGAUUGGGCGUAAAGGGUGCGCAGGCGGUCCUGCAAGUCUGGAGUGAAACGCAUGGGCUCAACUCAUGCAUGGCUUUGGAAACUGGAGGACUGGAGAGCAGGAGAGGGCGGUGGAACUCCAUGUGUAGCGGUAAAAUGCGUAGAUAUAUGGAAGAACACCAGUGGCGAAGGCGGCCACCUGGCCUGUUGCUGACGCUGAGGCACGAAAGCGUGGGGAGCAAAUAGGAUUAGAUACCCUAGUAGUC